GACGAACGCUGGCGGCGUGCUUAACACAUGCAAGUCGAACGGAAAGGCCCUGCUUUUGUGGGGUGCUCGAGUGGCGAACGGGUGAGUAACACGUGAGUAACCUGCCCUUGACUUUGGGAUAACUUCAGGAAACUGGGGCUAAUACCGGAUAGGAGCUCCUGCUGCAUGGUGGGGGUUGGAAAGUUUCGGCGGUUGGGGAUGGACGCGCGGCUUAUCAGCUUGUUGGUGGGGUAGUGGCUUACCAAGGCAUUGACGGGUAGCCGGCCUGGGAGGGUGACCGGGCACAAUGGGACUGAGGUACGGCCCAGACUCCUACGGGGGGCAGAAGGGGGGAAUAUUGCCCAAUGGGAGGAAGCCGGAUGCAGCAACGCCGGGUUCGGGAAGACGGCCUUCGGGUUGUAAACCGCUUUCGCCUGUGACGAAGCGUGAGUGACGGUAAUGGGUAAAGAAGCACCGGCUAACUACGUG
rnacentral:rRNA from 1 species